CCUACGGGAGGCAGCAGUGAGGAAUAUUGGUCAAUGGUCGGGAGACUGAACCAGCCAAGCCGCGUGAGGGAUGAAGGUACAGAGUAUCGUAAACCUCUUUUGUCAGGGAACAAAGGCGGGGACGUGUCCCCGGAUGAGUGUACCUGAAGAAAAAGCAUCGGCUAACUCCGUGCCAGCAGCCGCGGUAAUACGGAGGAUGCGAGCGUUAUCCGGAUUUAGUGGGUUUAAAGGGUGCGCCGGCGGUCUGUUAGGUCAGCGGUCAAAGCCCGGGGCUCAACCCCGGACCGCCGUUGAAACUGGCAGUCUCGAGUGGGAGAGAAGUAUGCGGAAUGCGCGGUGUAGCGGUGAAAUGCAUAGAUAUCGCGCAGAACUCCGAUUGCGAAGGCAGCAUGCCGGCUCCACACUGACGCUGAGGCACGAAAGCGUGGGUAUCGAACAGGAUUAGAUACCCUAGUAGUC
rnacentral:rRNA from 1 species